AUGUAGGCUGAUCAGCUGACCGAAGAACAGAUUGCUGAGUUCAAGGAAGCUUUCUCCCUAUUUGACAAAGAUGGCGAUGGCACCAUCACAACAAAGGAACUUGGAACUGUCAUGAGGUCACUGGGUCAGAACCCAACAGAAGCCGAAUUGCAGGAUAUGAUCAACGAGGUGGAAUGCUGACGCUUUUGUCUUUUAAUUUGAGGUAAUGGCACCAUUGACUUCCCGGAAUUUUUGACUAUGAUGGCUAGAAAAAUGAAAGAUACAGACAGUGAAGAAGAAAUUCGCGAGGCAUUCCGAGUCUUUGACAAGGAUGGCAACGGUUACAUCAGUGCGGCAGAACUACGUCAUGUCAUGACAAACUUAGGAGAAAAACUAACAGACGAAGAAGUAGAUGAAAUGAUCAGAGAAGCAGAUAUUGAUGGAGAUGGGCAAGUCAACUAUGAAGAAUUCGUACAGAUGAUGACUGCAAAAUGAAGGCCUACUUUCAACUCCUUUCCCCCCUUCUAGAAGAAUCAAAUUGAAUCUUUUACUUACCUCUUGCAAAAAAAAAGUUCAUUUACUCAUUCUGUUUCUAUAUAGCAAAACUGAAUGUCAAAAGUACCUUCUGUCCACACACACAAAAUCUGCAUGUAUUGGGUGGUGGUCCUGUCCCCUAAAGAUCAAGCUACACAUCAGUUUUACGAUAUAAAUACUUGUACUACCUUAAUGAUAAGGAAGCACUUAGUGGACUCCUUGCAGUUCCAUUUGCUCAUGAUUAAUACACUGUUUGGGCUGGCCAGUUUUUCAUGCAUGCAGCUUGACAAUUGAGCACAGUCAGGCAUUUGUAUUAAAAACGAAAAAUGAAAAAACAAAUCUAAAACGUACUCAACUGGGUUCUAGUUCAAUUUGUUAGUAGAAAUUGUCAUAGCUGGUUUACUGAAAACAUUUAAAAUUGGUUUACCUCAGGAUGCUGUGCAGAAAAAUGGGUGAAGGAUAAACUGUCUAGAUGUAGCCCCACUUAGGACGGCCCUCCCAUACUUCCAUGUGCCCCUUCCCCCCACCCAUGGUGACGAUGACACACAUCCUGGUGGCAUGCGUGUGUUGGUUUAGCGUUGUCUGCGUUGUACUAGAGCGAAAAUGGGUGUCAGGCUUGUCACCAUUCACACAGAAAUUUAAAAAAAAAAAAAAAAAAAAGGAAAAAAACCUUUACCAAGGGAGCAUCUUUGGACUCUCUGUUUUUAAAACCUCCUGAACCAUGACUUGGAGCCAGCAGAUUAGGCUGUGGCUGUGGACUUCAGCACAACCAUCAACAUUGCUGAUCAAGAAAUUACAAUAUACGUCCAUUCCAAGUUGUAAAUGCUAGUUUUUUUUUUUUUUUUUUCCAAUAAAAAGACCAUUAACUUAAAGUGGUGUUAAAUGCUUUGUAAAGCUGAGAUCUAAAUGGGGACAAGGCAAUGGAGGAGAGGUCAGGACCUUUUAAAUGCCCACCGCCCAGCACUGGGCUUCUCACACUCCCACCCUCCUCUCCCUGAUACCCCAGCACCAACCUCUGAGCCUGAGACCUUGCCUAAAACCAGAGAUGGCAGUUUGCUUCAUCCUAUCAAUGGACAUGUAGGUCUACUUGUAUUUUCACUGGGGGAGGGGGGGCGGGGGGUGGGGAGUGAACCCUGGUAACUUCAUGACUAUUCAGGCAGUGGCGCUCUUAAUGAAGGAAAAAAAACCACUUUUUCUCAAGCAUGUACUUAGGGGUUCUUCUCAAUCGUGCUGCUGAUUACCUGUUUUAUGUAACUACUUGAGACCAUCUGUGCAAGAGACAUGAUUUAGUGUGUCUGUCUGUAAUUCAAUCCUCGCUGUGUGCUAGAAGCAGUAGUCCCUUCUAAGCCAGUCUUGAUGCCUAAAGACACUACCGGUCAUCUUUGAUUCAUGAUUUUUAAUUUAUGAUUUUACUUUUCUUCAGCCUCCUUUUCAAUUUUUUUUUCCCCUAAAGUUGACUUUGCUUCCCCGCCUCCCCCCCCCCCCAAGUAGAACUAACUCUAGCCCCCCCAGCUUGAAAGUCAAACUCCAGCCUAGAGGGGGUUUUGUGUCUCAUAAACCUGUAACCAAAACAGAUACUGGUACUGGUUUUUGCAGUGGGAUUGGUGUGCUUUUUUUUUUUUUUUUUUUUAAAAACCCUUUAAAAAGGAAUAUUGCAUUUAGUGCAGAACUCUUUCUGUAAUGAAGGCUGGAUGUGCAUUUUUCAGGGUGUUAACUGGUUGUAUCUCACCAGUGAGGAGAGUUGGGUUUUGAGUGUUUUCUGUGGGAGGUUUUAAUUUGCCAGGGAACAGCGGCAGGCUGCUAGCGAGGCAGCGACAAGCUCUUGGCAGCCAAAUGGGUGCAUUCAGGGCUGAUUUAUAGAGACCCUUGGCUUCUCCCUCUCCUACUCCCUGUCUUUCUGGCAUUUUGCAGCUUGUUAGAUUUCCUGCCAGAGGGAUGGGUCAGAGCAGUGGAGAGGAGCCCGCCCAUCUACUUUUGCUGUUGGUCCUUAGACUGGGUGGUUAUUGAAGAGGAGACCCAGAGCUAGAGGUGACUUCCAUAACUCCCCGAAUCUGGAAGGAACACCUGAGAACACCUCGGAGGUUGUUCAGGUGAGACAGGGAGGACUUAGGGCUCCUGGAUGUUUCUUACAGGGAGCCCAAGUCCUGACUCAUCUCAGGCCUACGUCCUGAUGGCUUCUUGGUCAUUUCAAAGAGGGUUGGGGGUAAUUGAACUUGUUUUUAACACUUUGCCUUCUGUCUUAACUCUUUCGUCAAGUCUUUUUCUAGAAGCUAGGUGGGCUCCAUUUUAGUGGUCCCACAACCCUUCCUAAAAGACUGCUUUUGAAACCAGAUUCUUCCGUGGCCAGCAUCCUGUAUGGGAAGCAAAGCCUUUCCCCCAGGGAGUGUCGAGUCCCAGCUUGGUGCAGAGGGGCAGCCCCAUCCUCUGCAGCCUUUUCCCUCUGGCUUCAGGGAAGACCAGCCCAGGUGGGGUGUUUGCAGACUGCAUGAGUUUGUGAGAGGACAGAGCUGGGUGUUGGGUCCAUACCCUUAAAAGUUGGUUAGCACCUCCCUGUAAACUCUUGCCCCUUACUUCUAACUGCUCUAUAAAUAUAUACAUAUAUUUAUAUAUAUAAAGUGACUAGUUUAACUGGCAUCCCGCUUGAGCCUGAGACUUGCCAUAAGAAACUGCUGAGUACUUGGCAAACACUUUCAUAGUUUUGUUCUCCAUCUGUUGGGGGUAGGUGUUGAGCAAGGCAAAUGCAUCUCAACGUUUCAGAUGGGCUUUUGACGCACUGUUGCCAAGGAAGGCUUUUUCUGAUUUUUAGACAAAUGAAUUUUUGCACACUUUAAUUGGUGUCUUUCGGCAACUUAAACACAUGGAAAAUUAGCUACUGUACAUAUUUUUAUAUUCUCUUUAUAAAAUGCAUGUCUGACUGUACCUGUAACCUGUGUUGUGACGAGAGCAGCCGUCCAGUAGGCCUCCCACGUGCUGCUGCGGCCCGUCAAGAGCAGCAGCAUAUGAUUAGCCCCUCAGCAUACUGGGAACUUCCUCCUAAACCAAGAAUGUAAAUUUGGUCAAAAGUCUGCUCUUUGUUCAUUCAAUUAUUUUAAACAUUUGAAUUAAUUAUUGUAUAUCCGAAACACAUGAUCCUUUUUGGCAGUGACGAAGAUUCCACGAAUGUGUCUUACUAACCUAUCCCCUACAGCUGGCAGUUAGUAUUUUCCUUUCUUUUUCCCAAUCCCUUGAAGUUGUCCUAUAGGAGACAGAAACCCUUUGCUGUCUGUAUCCCUUGGAGUAAGAAGGUAGCGGCCUGGGUGGAGUGUGUGUUCUUUCUCCAGCUCUCCUAACGUUCCUGAGCACGUCUGUAGCAAGGAUGGCGCUAGUUCCGAUGCAGAAGCUACCCUUUACCGUGGUGAUUCGAAAAAGGAGAUGUACUUGAACGUUUCUGUAAAUCUUGAGAUAAACUGUUUGGAGAUUUAACCACCUCUCUGAUGGGGGACCAACUCUAUGGAAAUUGUAAAUAAGUUUUAUUUAUAAACCUGGCACUGUAUCCAAUAAACAUUUCUGCAGCCUUUCAUCUCUAA